rnacentral:rRNA from 1 species
UACAGAGGUCUCAAGCGUUGUUCGGAUUCAUUGGGCGUAAAGGGUGCGUAGGCGGCGCGGUAAGUCGGGUGUGAAAUCUUGGAGCUUAACUCCGAAACUGCAUUCGAUACUGCGGUGCUUGAGGACUGGAGAGGAGACUGGAAUUCAUGGUGUAGCAGUGAAAUGCGUAGAGAUCAUGAGGAACACCAGUGGCGAAGGCGGCUCACUGGCCCGGUACUGACGCUGAGGUGCGAAAGCGUGGGGAGCAAACAGG